UUCAGUCAUUUUUAAUUUUUAUGAAAGGGAUUAACCGAACAAGCCUCGAGAACAAAACCACGGCACGGUCUCGCCCGCUGCCCCGCUCGUCGCGCGGCGCAAGCUCUACGUGUGGUCGGCGGUUAAGGCACGGCGUUCCAUUUAUUCGCGCUCUGCAGCUACUCCCGCCAGCCAAGCUCGACACUUUGCUCCGUGACUGGCAGCAUCAAACGCAAAGCCUUUGGCGGCGACUGUACCUCAGCCUGCAUGCGCACCCACCCGUGCUAGCCCAGUGAUCGAUCGGCUCUUUGGUUUAUGCGGCUAUAAGAUGUUGAGCUGCAGGAAUUUACAACCCCCAAAACAAAACAAAACAAAGCAAAACAAAAUCUGCACUUGCCUUCACUUUUGCUUUUCCACGCCGUUGGCUGCUAGGUGAAUCUGUGAUACCGUUCGCUGUCCACCUCCGAGCAAAAAACUUCUUUGCCUCGCACGAGAUACACUGCUUUCCGUAUCAGUAUCACACAUUACCGUCAUAUAAUGACAAUCUCAUGAGUAAAAGAGAGUACUAUAAAAAAGCUGAUAAGGGCCGUGAAACCUCUGGUCUAGUACAGUAGUACUCGAGCUAUGUGCUGUUUUUUUCUUCCUUUUCAAGGUGCUCGAGAUUCAUUACAAGAGAAUAUGAAUUUAACUUUAUGUUUGGCAAAAGGCGUAUCAUUCAUUACGGAAUGCAGAUCCACAGCCACAAGCAUUUCCCAGCCAGCAACAAGAUAUAUACUCGUACAUGUCUCUCCGUUCCUCUGUAGCAUUUCCAUCUCUCCACGCACGGCCCCGGAGAGCAAGGAAAGAUGUUGCUAGCUCAAUACAGCAAAUAUUAUUAUUAUUACCCC
rnacentral:lncRNA from 1 species